rnacentral:lncRNA from 1 species
AGACGAGGAGGAGGAGCACGGGGCCCCGAGGGGGCACGCGAACGGCCGGCCCCGGGAGGAGGAGGAGGAGGAAGACGAUGAGGAUGAGGAGGAGGACGAGAGGAGGGCUCCGGAGAGGCGUCCCAGGCAGGUCGAGCUGCACCGGGACUGCCCCUACCUCGACACCGUCAAUCGACAGGUAUUACUUUUUUUUUGUUCCGGCAUUUUGGCCGUCGAUUGGAUUGCAAUUGCCUGCUGUUUGAUGGGGAUAAGGCUGGUUUGAGUCUGCUGGUUCUGUGCACAACUCUAGAAUUACCUGAGAUGUGCUCACGGUGGUUUAAGUAUUAGUCGCUGAUAUGAUAUGGUGUGACUCUUCCAGCUCAACAACAUGUAGAAAUGUAGAGCUGGAGCUUGGCCUUAGGCAUUAAUUUGUUGCUACCUUCGCGGUGAAUUCUGGCAGCAAAGACAAAUUGGAAGUGGUGUUGGAAGAUAUCUAUCUAUCAGCACUGCACACCAGUAUAUUGGGUACUGUAGGAGCAGAGGAGAGGCCAAAGGUAUGGUAAGCAAAAUCUCCAGCGGCACCAUGUAAUUUCUGCCGUACCACUCCUACAUGAACAGUCGAACGCAUUCAAACACCUAGCAAGACCUUUGAUUGUCUGCAAGAUAGUUCGGUUUGAGGUUUAUAUUAGAAGAGUUUCAGAUGGUUUUCUAUGUUACGUACAUCACUAAAUCCCUAAUAAACAGGCUUGAUUACUAACAUCUGAUAAUGACAAAUUCGUUUUUUUACAUGUCCAUCUAUGGACAGUCUGAUUAAAGGGUUGUUUGUAGGGAAGAUGAUGCGUCUGCCCAGGGCUUUGUUUUUUACAACUGCAACUAAUACAUAGGUCAACAAAUUCAAUUUUAUGCCUGUUCACUUUGAUUCUUACAGAAGGCUCAGUUUAUACGUGUUCUUAUAUGUCACCCCUAUUAGCUGAUGCAUGAUGGGUUUGGUUGACGUUUCCUUUGUAGAUGACGUAGAUGUUGCAUAUUGUUUCUUCUAAAUACACACUAAAUCUUCAGUUAUCUGCAUGGUAUGUAUUCUUAGUCUACCUUGCAUUGGCCAAAGAGAGUGGUUUUUUGGCGCUAGGUAUGAUGCCGAGACAUUCAAUAUUUUCUGCAUGCGAAGAUACUUUUAGUGCUCGAGCGGCAUGCGGGUUGUAUGUGAAUGAAGAUCUCCAGAGAUAAAUUUGUUUUUUGAUAGGUUCGGUGUGCUUGAGAUUUCUUUUGGUUCCCUGUCAACUACUAUGGCUGCCGCCACAAGCCAUGAUGGCCAGGUCCUGCCUAUUUCUCAAUUCUCAUACUGCUGCCUCGCCUCUUCUCCUCUCCACCUUUACCCGGUGGAGAAUCAGUUGGGCAGAUCAAACCUCCUGCAUCCUAUUCCUGUUGCUGGAGACAAGAACUAUUAGUCCAUCGCUCCUGGCCAGCUGCUGGACGUGAUGCUAUCUGGCCGGAAGUAGUAGCAGACUCUCAAGCCAAUCCAUCGCAUGCAUGCAUCAAUUGAAUCCACCGUUGAUCAUUAGGGCACUGUCCCAUCCAUAUAUAAGUUGAUUCGGCAAGAAACAUACCAAUCUUAUAUCUGUAAAAAAUAUUUCUAGGAGACCACAAUUCAGAGUAUAAUAUCUGCCGGCAAACUUCUGCAUGGAACUUAUAUUUUUAUGCUAAUAAUGAAUUAUAUGUGUAAGCUUUAACCUCGAUUUUUUAUAAGCUUUAACUUCGAAUUGAUUCAUCACACUGUGGUUAUCUGGGGCGUUUAGUUAUCUCUGUGUUGCCACAAAACUAUGGUAUUCUAGAAAAUAUAAGUACAAUCGAUUGUGCUCAAGGACAAGGGAGAAUUAAAGUGUCACAUUUAGAGCUGUAUUAUCAGAUUGAGCCGGUGCAUGAUUUCUAUAUACAAAUUUUGUUCUUAUAUGUCCUUGGGACUUACUAUUUCCAUAUUUUCUCUUAGGAAUUUGUGAGCUGGAGUUCCAAAAUUUGGAGUUCUCCUGACUUUGAACAUUGCAUUGCCCGCAAAGUGUAGAACACAGAGGGUACUCCUCAUAAGAACACCUACAUGAACUUAUUUUUUUUGGUAACCUGCUCUGUGUAUGUCUUAGAAAAUAUAUCUAGCUGCAAUGAUAUUCACAACUUAGCAGCGUUUGCAAAAGUAAAGAUUCAAAAGGUAGCACACUCAUGAUAAUGGCACAUAUAAUCUUGCAUCCAUUGAAACGAAACUAUAAUUGCAUACGAGUUUACCAUUUUUCCUACAAUGCAUGGCAUCUUAUAAUCCAUUCAAAUAUAUUGUAUCAUUUCAUAUUUUUUAUUAUUCUCAAAGUUUAAUUUCUAGCCCGUGCAGCAACACGUGUUGAUGACUAGUAUCUAGAAUUAUGUUAUGUUAAAGGGGCAUCUAGAUGCAUAUUGUUGUGGCUGCCAUUAAAUGCAUGUCUUCUCAAACUAUUUAAAAGGAAGUGUUGUUGCCGUGCCAUUUAGGUAGUUUCAACAGAUAUGAUGUGCUUGGCUGUUAAUGUUUUAGUGUGUGCUUCUCACCUGCUGUAAAAGGCCAAUUCGGGCAUCGUAGCUGCUUCAGUAUUUGAUCUUCAUAUAUUUUGCUUUUGCAAUAUCCUGUUCUAACAUCUGAAAAUGGAAUAAUUUAACAAUAUAAUCUUCCUGACUUUCUGCAACUGAUUUUUGCUGUAGUCCAAAAUUAUAUGUUUGUGUUUAUUGCCUUUUUUAGUGUGUUGAUACUUGAAAGGGGAACAGGGCAACCUGUUGCACUCUUGCUUUUGUUAGAGCACUAUAUUUUAUUGUUAACCAUGCUAUGGUCCAAACUCCUUUUUAUUCUGCUCAUAUGAUAUUGCUCAUCUUUUGUUUUCUGUCCAAUGCCUCCUGUAUUUAGAGUAGAAAUAUUCUUAAUUUAGUGUUUCUUGAACAUGGCCAGGGCAAUGGAUAAAAUCUACUCUGGAUAGUUGACAGAGGGAGUACAUGCUAAGUUGACUUUUUUCCUGCGGAUUUGCUUAUCCUGAAGAUGCUUGAAAGGAUGCAGAGGGAGCAGAUCAUUUGGAGAGAUAGGAUGCCACUGUUUGGUGUUUUUAUGCAUUUUGGUUUGCUUGUAAUUGUGUUUGCACUAGCUGGGAGUAUGUGACUCCAAGAAGUAUAGGUGUUUUAAUUGAAAGCAUGAAAAGCCAUGACAAUAUGUAUGCUCUUACAGGAUGUGCUCUAAUGCCGCUGGUUUAUUAUAAAUCUUGGAUUAGUAAUGAUGUGUAAUGAUGUUGGUUUAUUGCAAAUAUGUGUUUGUUUUAGUUGGAAUUGUAUGCAUAGAAUGGAAUUGGUGAAUUUUAUUUUUUAAUUCCUAAUUAGUUAGUAGUAGCGUGGGAAAACACCAGACGCGCGUGGGUUUGCAUCCAGACUACUAGUAGUAGCGUGGGAAAAAACCUG